rnacentral:tRNA from 1 species
GAAAUAUGUUGAUCAAGUGUAAGCUGCUAACUUAACACUUUAGUGGUUAAAUUCCAUUUAUAUUUCU